rnacentral:rRNA from 1 species
GCUGGCGGCGUGCCUAACACAUGCAAGUCGAACGCGAAAGUUCCUUCGGGGGCUAGUAGAGUGGCGUCCGGGUGAGUAACACGUGGGUAAUCUGCCUCCGGGUGGGGAAUAACACCUCGAAAGAGGUGCUAAUACCGCAUAAUGCAGCGGCACCUAAUGGUGAAUAGUUGUUAAAGCGGGGGAUCGCAAGACCUCGCGCCUGGAGAGGANCCUGCGGCCGAUUAGCUAGUUGGUGAGGUAACGGCCUCACCAAGGCGACGAUCGGUAGCUGGUCUGAGAGGACGGCCAGCCACACUGGCACUGAAAUACGGGCCAGACUCCUACGGGAGGCAGCAGUGGGGAAUUUUGGGCAAUGGGCGCAAGCCUGACCCAGCAACGCCGCGUGAGGGAGGAAAUCCUUCGGGAUGUAAACCUCGCAAGCAGGGGAAGAAUGCCUUCGACCUAAUACGUUGAAAGAGGGACGGUACCCUGCGUAAGCCACGGCUAACUACGUGCCAGCAGCCGCGGUAAUACGUAGGUGGCAAGCGUUGUUCGGAAUUACUGGGCGUAAAGGGCGCGUA